rnacentral:lncRNA from 1 species
AUUUCAUAUUUUUAAAUGAACAUGACCAAAUAAUUAUUCAUGAUUAUCUGUGAUCAAAAUUUUAAUCAAUAUUUAGCACUGUAAUUUUUCUUUAUUUAUUUUUAAUAAAUACUUGUUCAAAAUUAAACAAAACAUUUAACCCCCUGACAUUCUACUAAUAAUAUACUAUAUACACUAAAAUUUCACCAAAAAAAAAUCACUCCAAAAUCUCACUCCAAAAAUUUCACUCCAAAAUCUCACUCCAAAAUCUCACUCCAACACUCCACUCCAAUACUCCACUCCAACACUCCACUCCAUAAAAUACAUUAUGCCUG